UUUGCCACCCCAGUGUUAUCCCUUUUCUUAGAUUAAAAAGUUGUGUUUGUACAGCACCUUUUGUAAUCAGGUUUGGCAGCUCAGUUGUGCAGCUAUGCAGUUCAGGCGUAUCAGAGUUACUAUGUGCUUCUGGACUGUUGUUUCUGGGAUACUCAGCCUUGUUGAAGUGGCCUGAUGCUUUUACCUGCUCAGUUUCUUUAACAAGUAAUAGCAUAAAAUAGCUCUGGGUGUGUGAAGCAUUGUGUUUGAAUACAAUACUUAAACGAGUGCUCUUAAGUAAGAAUAAGAGUAUUAUGCAGACUGAUAUUUUUUUGGACUGAUGUUCUAGAUCUGUAAGUUGUCCCUGUGUAGCAUUAGGAGGUUCAUCUCGGAACCCUGCUGCUUUCAGACUGUUCAAGAAGCUGCCUCCUAUGUACUACAAAAUUUUCCAAGUUUUGCUAAUCUUCACAGUUGCUGCUUUUUAAUUUGAUGUUAGCUGUAGAAUAAUAAGCUUUCAUUAACAUUCUCAAAAUUACUUUGCUGGAAACAUGUUAAACAAUGUGUCACUUCAAAGCAACCCCUUCUCUCGUAUUCCCUUUAACAAAGAAAACUGCCACCAUCAUUUAAAUGUUAUUUCUUCUAAAGAGAAGAAAAUCUGUCCAGUGCAGGAGGAAGCAGAUAUUCCCCCUCACACAUUUUCCAAGGGGAAAUACCUUCUUUUCAUAGGAAUAACUUGUAGGGGAAAAUACUCAUUCAUAUGAACGUUAUGAGCUUCCAUAAACCAGCACAGCUGCCGUUGCUUCUGUGGUCAUAAUUUAUUAAGUCCACUGAAUAUUUGACAUCUAGCUUUUAAAUGUGAAUGCUAUCUUGCAAGUGAUUUCUGAGACUUCAGUCUCCUGUAACAUUACCUUCCAGUUCUGCAUUUCACAUCAGUGAUGCUUUCCUGUUAAAUGAUACAGGAUCCAAGGUGAAAAACACUUGUCAUCAGUUGUCACAGAUGUCACCUAUAAAAUUCAAGCAGCAUUUUGAAGUUUUCUUUUGGAGACCUUUCCCUCCAUUUUUGCUUCAAAGUUAGUUGUUGCAUCUUUGGUGAAAUAGUAUUUUCUUGGAACUAUAAACUAGGGAACUAAUGAAUGCAGUAUUGGGACUUUGCGGGUAUUCUAAGAAUCUUUAAAUUCUUAGAGAGUUUAGAACCAGAGGCACCUUUUUUUUUUUUUUUUUUUUUUUUUUUAAAGAAGAAAAUCUGUUUUAAAAAGCAGUAACAUUUUGGAGACAAAAAAUAUGCAACCACUUGUUUCAAGGUAAUACAAGGGAAAUAGAAAAUCCUGAAACUGAUCAUUAACCUUGAUCAAAAUGAUUGUUGGCCAUUAUAACUGGGGAUGGUGGGCUUCCAAAAGCAAAUGACAUCUGCUUUACCUCAUGUAUGCAUGAAUAGGGAAUGAAUAAGAAUAGGGAGGGAAGAAAAAAAAAAUAAUAAUGAAAGCUGCUUGAAAUCACUGGGGACACAAUACUUGGGAUGAACUGACCCCUUUUUUCUGUCUGAAAAGCUUUUAAUGAAAGAGGAAAAGGACCUGAUGAUCUUUUACUGCAAAGGUUAAUAACAUAAAAUACUGAUGAGCAUUUUAUGUAAGAAGCAAACCUGCAGAUCUCAUUACCUGGGCCUCCUGAUUGUGCAUUCAUAUUCAACAAGAGAAGUGGAAAAUACAUUUGACACAUUUUAAGGGUUAUAGUGGACAGCGUUCACAUUUCUGAUUCUAUUCCCAGUGCACUUUUCUUGUUGAUAGAAAUGUAAAAGACCACUGAGGUCACCCAGGCUGUCUUCCAGGCCAGGCAAGCUUGUUCACUCACCAGACACUGAUGGCUGGGAAACCGUGUCUGACUGCAAUGAACAUCAAGAUAAGGGCAACAUUUGGGUCCCAGUUCAUCAACUAGCAAUUGCUGUAAUCAUCAUCUGUUUGGCUUGCAUCAGUUUUAGGUAAAGAUCUUGAUUGCUGUUGCAAAUCUUCAGCUAGAAAAUCUGGGGAGAGGUGCAGAGUCAUUGACUGUAUUAAGUGUGACAGCAUGGCUGAGUCUUCAUCGCAUCGUGGGUAGGGACCAGUUUGCCAAGUGUUGUAUAGUGAAAACCACUCCAAUUACAUACUGCUCUUUAACUGGGAGAAAGAAGACAAGAAUCGUAAUGUAGUGACAGCAAGCAAUGAAAAUUGCAAGCUUUGACACAAAUUAAAUUUGCAAAGGCGGAAGCCAUGCCCAACACCAUGACAAGCUAAUAUGGGGAAGAAUGAGAUUAACGGGUUGAAAUAUCUCUUUCCUGUUUAAGGUUAACCUCAGGCAAGAGUGAGUUUGUUGGUGUAAUGUCUUAUUGAAUUUUAAUAUGGAAAUGUCUCCUGGCAUGUAUUCCAAACACCCUACAAAUAGUGAUAUUGAUCUGACCUUCAAUUAAUAUGAGAGGCCCUCUGCAAAAAUCAGAUCUGGGUUUGAAUAGCAAAUAGCUUUAAUAUUCUGAGGAGAGCAGAUCAUUUACACAUCUCAGUUUGAGACUAUAAAUCACCAGGAUUAUGUUUUUUUUUUUAUUAUCAUCUUAAUGCGGGCUUGCUUUCCCUGGAGCAAAAGACCAAAAGCAUGGUGUAUCAUUAAAAAAAAUCACGGAGAAGAUGUCAGUAAGGUACAGACAACGAAUAAUGUGUUUGUACAAAAGGGAGUUAUUUGAAAUCUGUUCCUGCUCUCUGUUGCCACAUUUUUGAGGCAUGGGCUGUCUUUUUGCCAGUGGGCUAGAAUGAACACUCCCCAUCUUCAGCCUUUGCACAGUCUGUGGGUAUCUUUCCCUUUUCAGUUGGCACAGACCACUCUUUCUAAUGGCCAGCAUGUACCUCCCUUUCUCCUUGAUGCAGUAUCCCACAUCCCAUCCUACAAUAAGGGAUCAUGAGGCAUUAGCAAUCACAACUCAUUGCUACCAAGACGACAUAGGAAGCUGAGUGGUCUUGAUAUACAGCAAUAUGGUUUUUAAUUUGUAUUUUUGCUUGCUUGUGACAGUAGUGAAAAGUUUAACAAGGAUGCCUGCAUACCUUCCUGUCUUACCUGUUCUUAAAGUCUUUAUAUCACCUUUAUAUCACCAAAGUCUCAAUUCUCAUGCAGCUUUGUAAGUAUAGUAACAGCUGGGAGUAGUUCUGUAGCCGUUCAUCUGUAUUUGAGGGAAUACCUUAAGUCAAGUGGGCAUCAGACCACUUUUUUUAAAGAUAAUUUUUUUUUAAUAGCAUUCUUCUUCCAUCUAGGCUGUUAGCAAAUAACCUUUCUUAGCCACAAAGUAAUACAUAGUUUCACUGAUGCUGAUGCUGAUAUUGAGCAGUUUUCUAUAGAACUGUCAUUGAGCUGGGUGUGAAUUUUGGAGGUUUACUCUCUUAAUUGAUUUUUCAUUCGCCCAGAGAAAUGGGGCGAAUUCAGAACUUCAAAGCCUGUAAUUAAACCAGAUAAGGAUUUCAGCUAGUCAUAGCCUCCACUGCUCUGUGAAAUACUGAAGCUGAAAGAUCAACUUGACCAACUGGACCCCGUGAUUUGACAAUACGACUCAUAGAGCUGGCAGCGACCAUCCUUCCCUGGCAGUUUGACCUUGGAAGCAUCACUUCUAUUUAAUUAAACAAAACAAAACAAAACAACAACAACUACAACAAAUGAAGAUGGGCUCUAGUCUGCCUAAACUUGCCUGGUUGGUGCCACUCAAGUUCCAGACAACAAUCCUGUCUGCCAGCUUUCUGCUGUUGCUUAGUCUUACUUGUGUUAUUGGAUGAAUUGACCUAUUCCUCUGCUCAAAGGUGGAGAAGCUGGAUGAACUGAGUAGAGCUUUGCUACACUUCAAGACUUAUACAUAGCAGUCUGAAGGGGAUGUAUGGAGUUUGUCUUGAGGAAAAUAUCACUACUCUAGGCCUUUCCUACUGCCAUUCCAGUUGCUGAAUAUUUUGCUGUUGUCCUUGGUGGGCAUUUUACUUUGCAGAAAAUUCAGAAAGACAAUGAUGAUCUUACAGCACAGAAGAGCAAAGAUGGAAGUGGUGAGAAGGAACUCUUCUUUGUUCUUGUGCUCCUUGGAAAUUUAUGGGCCCACAGCACAGGGGUGAAUGCCGUGCACCAUCUGGAUGUAUCUGGGGCCUCUUCUUGACUAAGACUUGGUUGGUGACUCAACCACUUCCCUGGGCAGCCUGUUCCAGUGCUUGACAACCCUUUUGGUGAAGAAAUUUGGAACAUCAUGCAGAGGGUACCUAGGUGAAAGGGAAGAACAGAAGUAAGAUCAGUACCCUAAGGAGAAUCUGGCAAAGAAUUUCUGCCUGCUUUAGGACUCCUAAGGCAAGGUAAGAAAAACCCCAAAAUAUGAAGCUUGGGCUCCAUGUUUAUGUAUAUGUGUCUAGUGCUGGCUUUGCAGCUACACUUCUUUUUUUUUUCCUUUUUUUUCCCACCCUUGAAUAUUGAGAAUUCAUAGCAACUUUUUAUUUCAGUAGCUCUUCUGGGGCUUCAUUUUGGUUUUUUCCACCUGUCAGGCUGGAAUACACGUCUUACUACUGCUACACUGGGUUUCAUGCUGAGGGAGGGAAAACCCAAUGAGGGUGACAGCCUAUCUGUUGCUCCCCAGUUAGGGUCAAGGCUGCAGUUUCAGCUUGGAUUAGCUGAUAAAACAGAAAUGUGUGAACUGAAAAGGUGGAAUGGCACUGGAAAUCACCUGUUGUUUCAUUAGCCACGCUUGGAUUGAUUCAUACCAGUGCCAUCUGAAUUUCCCAUCCUCUCUUCAGGCAAGUGCUUGUUUUCCUUUCCUGAACAGCUGUUGACUUCAGCAGGAGGGGGAGGCCUUGUAGGUUUUCUGCUAUCCCCCAAAAUCUCCUUGGGAACUGAUUUACCUCUGUGUUUUCUGACAUUGGCAGAGAACUUUUACAUCAGCACAAUCUGCUGGUGACCACGUAUCUGUCAGUCUCUUGCGCUCGUACCAGUGACUGCUGGGAAAAUCCAGCCCCUUUUUCCCUAUUGCAUCAGCAAAUAACAAGGCACCCAAAUAUUAUGCAGACAGAAUGACCUCAGAGCACCAGCAAUUUAGAUGAAGAGUUCACAGCAGAGGGCAAUUUAUAAAAUGCAUACUUUUUUAGGUACUGUAGGUUUCUCUGCAUUAUGCCGAUCCACUCGUGUCUCCUUGGUCCCUGGAGAGCCGAUGAGGGGCGGCGUUCAGCCACUCUGUCUGGUAUUUCUCCAGUCCUGUGCUCACCACACACCAGGGAGAUCCAGGUAUGGAGCUCAUGGUCUUCUCAAGGAAAGCUGUCCCUCCAGCACUCUCCUUAGCUGUAUUGCUACAACAGGUCUAGCAGGGGGCUGAGGCACCCCAAAAUUUAACUGAGCUAUGGGAGUUGCAGAGGAAAAAAGACAGAAUACUACUGUAAGGAGCACAGGAUCACUGGUGAAAUUCAAAGAGUCAAGAAGACAGCAAAGGCAUCAAAAGUUGAAGAACACCCAGCACUGACAUGGCUUAUGCAAUUUGUUACAAGCCAAGUAAAGACAUUGAUCUCAAGCAGCAUGAUGUAAAAUGAUCCUGUGCCCAGGUCAGGGCUCUUUUUUUCCUUAGCUGGGGUUUCUUAGGUGACCAAGUGCUUUCCUAAAGGGAAAGAAACCGGUUUGCUCCAUCCAUUGUCAGUUCUAGUAUAGCAAAUAUGUAUAACAGAAUGAUUUUUUUUUUUUGAGAGCAAUAAAAACUGUAUGAGAUUGCAAAAGGUUUAUGUAUGUUUUAUAGCAGGAGCAGCCAUUAGAGUAAAACUACAUUAUUAUUCUCUUUCAUGCUUCCUUUCUGCUUUCAGACCACAUUCCCUGUGAAGUCAAGCAGGAGGUUCUUUAGUUUUGGCAGAUGUCUCAGUGAAAAAAAUUAGCAGUGCAUUUAUGUAUUUAUGCAAUGGCAUUAAGCAGAUUGUAAAUGUUAUAAAUCAAACAAUAUUUCCAAACAUGAGGUUAUGUAUGUUAAUGCAGUACAUUGCCCAUUCUUAUCCCCUAAUGAAGCAGGAAACUCAAGGUACAAUAUUUUUUGAUGUAGUUCACUAAAGUCAAAGUCUGGAGUUUCCCAGGUCUAACUGCACUGGGUGCGUUCCACCACUGAUUGACUCCAUCUUAUUUCCAGGACAAUAGGAUUUUCAGCAAUGUAAAAUUAUGUUCUGAAAAUGCUCAGUGAUAAGCCCAUAAAAGGUAUAAAAUUAUUUAAAUGAAGUUAUGCUAGUUACAAGUUAUUGCCAUUGCCAAUACAAGCACCAUUGUUUGAGUGGUAGAAAAGCAAAGUUUAAUCCCUGUGAACGUGUUGGUUGUGUGUAUUUGGUUUUGUUUCUUAUUAGAAACAUUGCUAGGGAGAACUGAUGUAUUUUUUUUUAAGGAACAGUAAAAUGAUUUGUGAAAUGUUGGGGCCUGUCUAUCAGUUCCGCAUAUUUUUUUCUGUAAGUUUUACUUUUCAGAGAAUUCAGUGUGUUGCUAUUAAGUGUAGACAUAUUUUGAAAGUAAUGUUCCAGUUCCAAAUACUUCUAGAAGACUGGUAGGCUUCUGGCACCUAGAAAUCUUCUUCCAACUGACAUUGUUUUGUUUCCCUGUCCUCCCUGAAGUUAAGAUUCAUUUAUUGCCUUUGAAAGUAACAGGGAGAGAUAACCAUUUUGAAUUAAGGGAAGAAUCAGAAGUAGGGGAAUGUGCGAUCAUGUAAAAUGUACACUAGUUAAGAACAAGCAAGAAAAUAAAAAAAAGGAUUUUUGGUAAAACAGGCAAACAAAACGCACCAUUGACUUAAAGGAUUUAUGUUAUGUAAAUCAAUUCCCAUAGGAGGCUAUAAAUGUUACGUUGGUCUAAAUUAGCUGAGGAUGAUGACGUCCUCUAAAUUAGGUGAGGAUCAGUUUGUCCUCAAACAGCCUUCUGACUGAAGGAAUGUAUUUCCUAUCAUUACAGCAAUCUGCUACAGAAAAUUAAAAACUGAGCUAACUUUGAGGCCUUUCCCUAUCUCUGAAGCAAACACUAUAAUAAUUUACCAUUUCUCUAACAUCCUAGUAGUUACACUUCAGUUUAAACACUGAUCAGCAUUUAAGUACUAAAUAAUAUUAGUAUUUUCCAUGAAAGAUUUAAAAUAAAAACUCUGGAACUAAAAAUAUCAUAAUGGACAAAUGUUUUUAUGAAGGAAGGGUGUUUUUCACCAAAUGAAGAAUACAAUUUCCACCACUUUUAACUAAGGAAAAGCCAUCUUUUUCUACUCAGAAAUACUGUUUUCACUACAGUCUAGUUAGAAAAAUGCGUACUGGAAAAAAUUCUUAUUAUGCUUGUUAUGAUUUUGCUUUCAACAUCUGAAAAUACUUUAAAAGCAAGAUCCCAGUCCAGUUGGUUAUUUUAGACAAAGCUUAGAUUUCUUCUCUGUUGAGUAAAGCAUUUGAAGGCAUGUUUAUCUUCAAGAAUUUGCUUAAAUGUGGUUGUUAUUAGGUAUAUGCAUAAACACUUUGCUGAAUGGGGAUAGAUUGCUGCAGCAGGCUCUAAAGGAACUAAGAACCCAGCUGAUAAAGGGAUGCUUUGGGUAAACUGUGCUAAAUUUUAGAGAUGUUGAGAUCCCCGUUACAGUGAGCACCACGCAUCCAUCUUAAUCAUGGGAGCUAAAAUUAUAAUUUCAAUUUUUCUUACCUGGAAAUUAUAAUGCAGGAGGAGGCAGUAAUUUGCUUGUGGCUUAUGUGGUAAAUGGGAUGUGAUUUUCAGACCACAGCCAAACACAGUUAAGCUGGGCUUUUCAGUAACAGUGUCUAUUCCAUUCUCAUAAGGGGAAUAUUUGCUUUUUGAUUUGAAAUUUCCAUCUGAUAUUAACAAGCACUAUGUAUGGGCCUUGAGGAAAGAGUAUGAACCAAGAUAGUCUGAUUCUGCAAAGUGGUUACUCCGUAACGAAACUUCCUAUAUUUCUGAGUUAAUGGGCCAAACGCCCUCCCACUGACUCCAGUGAUGAACCUGGCCUGUUAUUUCUAAGUGUUACUGACUGCACAUGUUCUUACUUGACUGUUAUAUGACUGAAAUAGGCUGGCGAGCACGAUUAUAUGGAGUGUGUGCACAGAGGACCAUGACGGAGACCAGUGUGGCUCAUUAUGACUGACUGAGGGUGAAAAUGAAAGUGCCUUACUGUGUAAUGGGCUGUUCUAAUUGAGGUCUUGUUUAAAAUGUAUGUCAAAAAGGACAAAUUCUUUAAAUUAGCUUUCCAAAGCCAUGUUUUUUUUGUUGUUGGUCGGUUGUUGUUUGUUUUUUUGUUUAACUUCAGCUCAGAUGUAGAAUGAAUAAUUUUCCAUAAUUGAUGAGUAAUCCUGAGAAGGCAGGGAAAUACUCUACUACCAUGUUCCAAAAAACAUUUAUAGCUUUCAUAUUUCUGUAAUAUUAAACUGAGGAGUUACAAAAGGAAACUGCUAAAACAUAAUAAUUUUCUGUAAAUUCUAUGAAGAACUUAGACUUUGCAGUGGUUGACUGUGAUCAUCUUCUGUGACAAAAAUGAGUAAAAAAAUUAAUCCUUUAAAUACUAGCAUGCCCAUUUUUCUUAUACUGUUUCCAAGGAGCUGAAUGAUACUUUGAAUAUGUGUAGUACUGAAUUGGUUCUGAUGUUUUGGUAAUUUCAGGUUCAUCUUAUGCUGGCCAGUUCAGGGUGGAAGAAAAUACUUUUUUUUUCCUUGAUAACUUCUCACUCUUCAAAACAUUCUCCCCUUUUAUGAGCAUUUUCUGGUAGCGCUAACAAAGUCCAGGACUCUCGGUACUAUCCCUAAUUCAUUCUUAUCAAGCAGUAACGAAGUGGGGUACGGAAAAUGUAGUCACUGACAGCCUGCCUUGCUGUCUUCUAUCAGACAGGAUACAAGGAAAGAGCCCUGCUUGAGGCAUAUCACCUACUAAAAUGGGUUGUGAGCCAUGAUUCUGAAGUAUUUUUGCAUUUUUUUAUUAUUAUUUUUAUAAGCUUUGUGACUGCCAGCAAUAUUGUUAAAGCAACCUGUAUUAUGCUGGCAGAGUUGUAUACCCAAGAAAUAUCUAAUAUAUCCAAAUAUUGAAAUGCAACCAAAUGUUGAUAUGUCAUCACUAAAAAAGUUUUGAGAAAGUUAGGACCAAACAGCUGUUUAUUGUUUUUUUUAAUAAAGUUAUUGUAGUAGUCAAUUACUCUUUAGAACUGUAAAAUAAACAUUAAGCAGUCAGUUCAUUUAUAUUUCACCCUUCUGUAAAUAUUCUUAUACAUCUCCAUUACCUCACUAUAUUAUAGAAUAAGAGCUAUAGCAGUCUCCAUUAUAACCUUAGUUUCAGCAGCAUCUGUCUUUCCAGCCUCCUGACUUUUUGCCCUCUGAACACAGGAACCUAGUGUUGGCAUUUUGCAUACCAUAAUUUAUCUUAGUAAAAUUUCUUUUUUGUUUACAACUGUACAAAGGUGAAGUAUUCUUGAUGACUUGGGUUUUAGUUUAAAUUUUUGAAGUGAGGAACAUUAAUAUCAUUUACUGAAAUCUAGCAAAACUUUCUUGGACUUCACAGGAACCAAUAUACUAUCCAGUGCACGUGUGUAUAGUAAUAUCAGGCUGCCUGAAUUGAUCACCUACUGGGCUGUGAUUCAGAUAACAGCUCAGACUUGGAAAUACGGAUAGGGGAAGAGAAAAGAGCUGUAAGAGCUGAGAAAUUUAGCAGCAAACAAUCCGUUCCCUGUUUUGGAAAUGUUACUUUUAACAAGUCCUACAGAAACUAUGACUUCUUUCAGGCAUCUGUGUUCUCUUUGUCAAAAUCCAGCUCUUUUUAUAAACAGUGAAUGGAUUUAGGACCUAGCAUUGCAUUGAAAACUGUUGCUCUGAAUCAUUAUACUCAAAAACACUAGAACUUUGUGCUGGUUCCAAAGAUUCAUUCACAUAUAACACACUGCGGAGUAAACUGCAGCCAGAGGUAUCCUCAGAAGAGCCUUGGGAGGGUGCCUCAUUAAAUAUUGUGAUCAGUUUUUAAAAUAUAUUUGGAUAGCAUCCUUGUUAUUGCUUUGCAGUACAUGGGCUUUAACUUUGAGAUGAAGAGAAAUAUUCUAUAUAGAGAACUAAACAAAACCAUUGAAUCCAUAGAGAAGUCACUCAACUUGAUACAAAUCCACACUAUAGCUGGUUGUGGCAUCAAACUUUUGCUCGCUAUGGCCAAUGUCUUUAACUUCUGUUAAACUUGGAGACCUAUUUGUUACAUUCACAGACAGAUGUUGGAGCCUGUGAUGUCUGGGUUUCUGUUUCAUGGUGCUGAAGCCCAGCUGAUAUUACCAGAAGCAGCAUGCUGUACAGGGCCUGAAAAUUUGUACUUGAACUUUGCUUGUUCCGGGUGAAACUUGCUUGUAAAUAAUAAUAAAUGAAAUAAUUUAUUCUACUUCAAUAUUUUUCCUGUUGAAUCUACAAAAAUAAUUGACCAAGUUGGCCUUGCAUGUAUUUCAGAUUUCUCAUUUUAAUCCAUUUGGGAUGGUCCUAGGAGCCUAAGUGUCCUGGAAAAAAAGUUACUAGCAGCUUCUUGUUUUGACUUCUUGAAUUCCUAAAUCUUUUCAUUUCUCACUGUCUAAAAUUCAGGGUUAGUUUUUCUGCUGCAUUGUCUUGGGUCUUUUCCUGGAAACGUAAACUAAGCUGAAAUUGCGUAGCUGUUGCAUGCGCUCCCAGAGUUACUCAUUUAGACCUUUGGUGCUCUUCACACCUCCAUAUUAUCUGCCAGUAUUUGUAUAACUGUUCAUGUUAUGUACAAGUAACUGUAUUUGCAGGAAAUGCGUAACACGUCAGUGAAAUAGUAAUCUUUUUUGGUUUACUUGUUUCAGGGCUACAUUUUGACACUAAGUCCUUUUUCUCUUUCUUUACAUUACCUUGGAAAAAAAAUUAUUACCCGUCCCAUUGUCUGAAACUGUUGCCUGAGCUAAGAGCUGGAAGAGGUUGUCAAGGUGUCUCCAGGAGAUGGUUAGUGACAUUUUGAAGUUGGCAUAUGUGGGAGCUGAAUUUCAGAGAGUAGUGAGCUUUGUGAACAGCUGUAACUUUGCUCUUUUUAACUGCCUUUUACUUGCUUGAAUAGUUGUACUUUCUAUGAAACUAAGUAAAGCAGUGGUGAAGGAAAUUAGAUGUAAUGACUAUAAAAAGAAGUGAAGGAGAAAGAGGACAUACAUGACUUUAGUGUAACUUACCUUUGACGUGCUGAUCUGUUAUCUUUCACUGAUGUAAAGGUUAAAUCCAUUAACUGGUGGUCUUCCAGUGAGGACAGAGAGCUGACAAGGCAUGAAGGGCUCAGGCCAGCAAAACCACAAAGUACUUGAUCUUUGAAUGUAUGACUUUUAUUGUCAGCAGCAAAAAUGACUUGACUUUCAUAUGUUCCCUCUAUGUGUGAGGAAGUGAACAUAAAUUAAUAGCUACAGUAAUUUCCUCUGGGUAAAUCUAUCUAAACGAUCUUAAAUAUUAGAAUGCUGAAAGGCUAAUGGCUUGAAUAUCUGACAUGAUGAACAUCUACAGCUGUUUGUGAAGCCAAAGGGAGGUCUUGGUGCCCACUGUCUUUGAAAAUCAGGUCACAAGACCAAUGAUGUCUUUAUACAGAGAAUCUGCUUGCUUUCAGUAAAAUUUACAUAAACUUGCAGCAGGAUAACAGCCUGAUGUACCAAUGCUAUCUAUAUCCGAGUUUCUAAAAAUUAAGAGUUUUGGAAAUGAUUGUGUUGUUUGCCUUCCAAGAGAUGUUGGACUGUGGGUGGAGUGUUUUUAUCCCCAGCUGCUGAAUGCACCAUUGUUUUGCAUUUAUUCUUAAGAAUGAAACAGUAUGUACACCUGAAGAGUAAAUCAUAGGAAAUGAACAGCUGAUUUGGGUUUUGCAAUUCACAUGCAUGAACUACCUUUGCUAGAAUUACUGUUCAGUGAUAAAACAAAUAAAAUGUUCAUGUCAAAGUGUUUAUAAUAUUUCUGUCACAAGGUGUUUGUAAAUCUGUUACACAAGAUGGCUAUGUUUUUAUUCUGUAUUUAUUGUAUUUUUUUGUCUGUGGGGAAAAUGGUUUCUUGUCAAUACCAUCAUGUUAUUGGACAAUCUUACCAGAAUAUGCACUUAAGGGAAAUAAUUUUUUUAAGGACUUUAAGAUUUACCUACACUGUAUUUGUCCAUUGGGACUCUGUGCUUGUGUGUUGUAAUAGUCCAGACCUGACUUAAAAUACAGCUCUCACAUGUUUUCUGAGCUUCUCAUAGGUUAACUAUACAAUGAUUCACGCCAGAUACAGUUAGAUAAUCAGUGACCAAGUUAGCACAUUUUGGGAAACUGCUGCUCAGUAAUGGUUAUGAACAGGCAUCCAGUCUUUCCUAACAAUAAAUAAAAUAAUUAGCCAUAAAGCUAUUUGCCAUUAGCUUAUUUUAAUAUAUGGCUCUUUAAAUUUGAGUUUACCUGUCCCCUCAGCUGAGAUGUGCAAAUUCCUCCACCAUUGCAAUGAAAAGUAAAAUGGGUUCAUUGCAACUACUAAUUCUUGUAAUCAGCAGACAGCACUCUUGCUCAAUGACUUGCUACCAGCUACUUUGGUCUGUGUUGUUGAUUCAAAAGAAGAAAUGAUUGUGCCUAUCCAGCAAAGGAACAAAAAAAAAGUGAAAGAGAAAAAAAAUUUCUCUCCUUUCUGUUUGCCCUGGGUCUCUGUAAUGUGGUAGCCGUGAGACAGUAUUCACAUAUAUUUCAAUUUUUAAAAUUCAUUUACAGCUUGCAGGAGGAUGAGAAGCAAUAAAAUCUAAGCUUACCUAACACCUGGUAGCAUUAACUACAAUUCAGAAACUUCAGACUAAUAUAAGAGGGAACAUAAUUUGGAUUUAGCAAGGAGCAGUAUUCAUGAAUUCGUUAUCCACUGUGACUAACUCAUGCCUUUGGGAAAGUUUCUUAAUCUCUAUUUUUACCUUAACAGAUCCAUACAGAAAAUGAACUUUCACAGGAAUGCAUUUAAGGUAUUUACGAACUCUGAAAAGUCUAUGUAAAUAAAACCAAGUAGAAAAUGAUUGGUAAAGACAUUUAAAUGUGAACUCUAAAGAAAAUAAUUUUUCUGCUUUUCAUUAUAAAAGGUUGCUUAUUUCUCCCUGAGGUGCUGGUUAGUGAAUGCUGAAUAGAAGAGAGUUGUGCUUUGCUUUGUUUAAAAAUUGGAGAUGAUAUACAUGCAUAAUAAUAAGACUGCUUUACCAGUGACCAUCUCUUCCCCUUGUUGAGCAACCACCUCAUUUGGCAGAGACAAGCUGGAUGAAGACCAAGUGCAUGUUUAGCUUGACAGCAGUUUUUAUGAACUCUGUCUUUUAACAACAAACUUCAAUGAAUUCUUAUUUUGAAAGAUAUUGGGUUUAUGUAAACUCUGUAAAAAUCCUGUUGUGUAACUUUCAAGCAAGCACCAACCUUAGUAAAUGCAUAUUUAUGACUGUGAGUGGUUAAACGUGGCAUAUUCCUGGUCCUGAGGAAUAAGUUUUGAGACAGAAAACCAUAACAUGAAAAAAUGUUAGUAAAUAUUCCUAUUGGCAUGAAAAGGAGAACAUCUGCUAAAGUCACGAGUGGUUUGUUGCUUGAGUUAGCAGCAGGACAGCCUACAGCUCAUUAGCUAUGGCUUGAUAAGAGAACAGGAGUGCAGUGGAUAGAAAUGUUUGUCAUUUGAAGUUGCUUGAAAUCAUGCUAAAAGCAUUAAAACCAUGAUACUUCACGUUUCUUUUUAAUUCCUUCCUUGGUAUCUUCAGAAACUGCUGUAAUGACUGCUUAACUAUUAGUACAAAGGCAAACUUAAAAAUAUGUGCACGAAAUGUCCUGAAUUUGAUCUUCUCUUCACAGCAGUAUUUAUUAUUGCUUACAUUUGUCCAUUCCUACCUAGAAAUGCACAUAAGCACACGCAAAACACUGAGCACAUCUACCAAAAUCAAGUUUCCCUCUCAUGCUGAGGCAACACUGACAUUAGCCAGAACACAGAAUUUGCAUUCUUUUAAACCCAUGUUGUGGGUCUGGUCUUGAGCACUGCGAUGCCAAUCUGAACUUUGGAUCACAGGCUGCAAAUAGUUCUUGCCUAAUUUUUUCCUAAGCUCACUUUGUGCACAGAUAUCUCAGAUUUAAAAUGCAUCUGGCAAUUCAAACACCUUUGAAUGUCAAAUAUCCUACAGUUAGGUUUGGUGUAAGGGUGAGGUAAUUAUGGAUGCCAACAUAAUUAACCUUGGAUGUCUGUUAUGUUAAUUCUUAAAGACAGACGUACUAAUGUGUGGAAAUGGGAAUAACCUCUGGUAUGUGUUUUACUGUCUUGAUUCCCUGCAGUCUAAUCCAGAGAAGGAGUUUUACCUGUGAGAACUACCAUGAUUAACUGACCAUUGACUUAAGGGAGAAUUUUUUUUAUCGUGGGAGUGGUGAAACACUGGAACAGGUUGCCCAGGGAGGCUGUAGAUGCCCCAUCCCUGGAAAUAUUUAGGGUCAGGUUGCAUGUGGCUCUGACAACCUGAUUUAGUUGAAGAUGGCUCUGCACCGCAGAGGCAUUGGAUUAGAUUACUUUUAAAAGGGCCCUUCCAACCCAAAUCAUUCUGAUUCUGUGACUUCAGUUGUUGUUCCUAUGAGGUCUGUGUGAAAGAUUUCUUUCCUCUCUGAAAAGAAAUCAUGUUUGGGCAAUCCAUAAUGUCUAUAUACAGGUAUGUUUAGUGAAUACUCAUACAGCAGUUUAAGCAUUUGGCCACUGAUGUAACAUUGUUUUAAGAUGACAUAUGUUAUUGUCCCAAAUGGCACAUCCCCUGACAAUGCCUGUCUGAACGCGUCUCAGAUGGGGAAAGGAGAGUACCUUCUGUUACUACGCGGUGACGUGACAAGCAUCACGUUGUGUGCGCUGGGAUGAUGACUCAAGCCACAACUGAAGGACCCUUCCUGGCUUUGCUGAGAUCAUGUGGGGAGAGGAUCUACCUGGACCUAUCUAGUUGGAGGAUGGGAGCUUUCUCAGCCUGAAGCCGCUGUCCCUCUCUGCCUCCAAGAUCCUGGCCUUAGCAGGCCAUGAAGAUUCAAUUCUCUGAUAUUCUACAAAUGAACCUAUCAAAUGUAGUUCUAUACUGGCUAGAGAGUACAAAUAAAGUUUGUCAUCCCUGUCUUACUCAGUUUUGCAGGCAAGUAAGAACAGACUUUUUUACUCUGAUAAUGUAAUUUGGAUUUUGUGUUAUAUGCAUUUUGGCACAGUUCUUGUGAGAAUUAAAUGCUAAAUUCCUCUGAGAGGAAUCUAACAUUUUAAAAAUUAUACCUGUUUUUAUAUAUAGAGAAAAUCUAUGCAAACAGCACAUGCAUUUAAACAAGAUAAGUAACACUUGCUUUUCCAUAGUAUUUGGGACUGACACACACCUCUGAAUCUUCUUGGGUCAUCUGCACUUACCCAGUUUUGUCCUUAGGAAAAAGUGUGGUCAAUGAACUACUUCUCUGAUUAUUUCUAAAAGUAUAUGGAUGACUUCAGACUUUUAGUUUUAUUACUGCCUAGAUACAGUAAAGAAAAAUGGUAAGUCUUACCUUAUCUGUACUAUAUUUGGCAGCGGAUAAUGGAUCUGUUGUCCAAAAAUCCAAAGAGGACUGGAAGAAGAGAUGCAGAAGAGGAUACCAAUCCAUCCAGUCUGUAAAAAAAGGACUGUUAACGUACAAUCUACUGAAAGCAAUAGCCUGUCUUCAUUUCACUAUUCUACACUAAGAUUUGGUGGCUCCAACUUGAAAAAAAAAAAAAGCAAGAAUCCAGAUAUAGAUGGCAAUCACAGAAAGCAUGGAGAGACUUCAUAGAAGAAAAAAAGUUAAGAGACUGGAAUUACUUAGUUCAAAAAAGUAAAUGUAUGUACAAAAUAAGUUCUAUAAAACAGCAUAGCUGGUCACAAAUGUGGGGGAAUGUUCAGCAAAAGCCAGAGGUAUUAUAUUCAGAUUCCAGUUUUUCUUUGUUGUGUUUUAUUUUAUUAUUCUCAUUUAUUUCAGUUAGUUCAGACAGUAAGUUUGAUUGAUUCUUUAAUCAGUGAAUGAGGGCUCAAUGUGAAGCAGAGGCACGCAAGUACAAAGUCUGUUCACACCCAACAAUAAAAAUGAGGAGAUUCUUUAUUUAAAAACAACAUUUGUAGCUGGAAGAAGCUAUGGUGACAUGGAGGGAUGGCUGUGUGGUGGUGCAGCUGCUCUGAUGCACACUCAGGAGCGAGCACAGCUCUGGGAAGGAGGAAGAGGAGGGUGUCCACCUGUACCGCAGCCCUGGACUAAAACACAGCUUUCCUUCAGGGCUUCAGAGCAGAUUAAGCAAGAUGUCUUUGAUGCUAAUCUGUAAAAACUCUUGAGCCAGUUUACACACAUCACGAAGCCAAUUUUGUUUCUGUUGCUUAUCGUCUCUGGUAAAUGAAUGACAGUGGAGUAAUACAACCAACCAAUGUGGUAACUGUAGAGGUACUACCGAUGGAAGAUGUGGUCUGGAAGGUCAUGAAUAUAUAUAAUACUCAUGACAGACGAAGUGCAAUCAAGUUCUUAUUGUGUAACUGUGUCAUCAUGCAUGUCACCUGAGGAAAUGACUUAACCAUUGAAAUCAGAACAUGCAUAUUACAAAUCACAAAUUUAUCAGAAGAAAAAAGACAGACAUUCCAACUUUUAAUACAGGAAAGUUAGAUAAUUUAAUGUUUGCUACAUAAUAAUAAUUUUUGUUUGUAUACUGUUUUUUUUUUUAAAUUGCAAGAAACUUGCAACAAAUGACUCCUUGGUAAUUUACCUAUAAUGGAAAAGGAACAGUUUUAUUUCCCUAUCAGUCAUUAAUUUAAAAAAGUAUUUUCACUUGGACUGCAAAAAAUCUAAUAAAAAUUGACACAAAGUAUUUAUAUUUAAAUGACUUACUAUUUUAAAGGGCACAAUAAUCUUACAUCAAAAGACAUUAAGGUAUCUUACACCUCUUCCAGAUCAGUGUCUAUCUGGUGCUUUUACUGACUUCUGUUAUUCUUGAAGGAUGUUAAGAACUAGCAGAGAAAUACAUUCACAGUCGCCGGAAAAAAAAAAAUUCUGCAUUAUUUUAACUCUAUAUUGGUUUAAGCUUAAUAAGCUGGCUUAUUAAGGCCAGCUGCUAAACCAUUUCUGAACAGGAGGGGGAAAAUAGUUACUGAAGAUUUAUCGAGGCAAAGUACAAAAAUGGGACAAAGAUGUCAAAACAUCCCACCCAAGAAAAGCUUAGGAAGUCAGACUUUGAGAGUAUUGAACAGAGCAUAGAAAAGGCAGGAAUUCAGUGGUAAAGAUCUUAUGGGCAGGAUCAUUGAAGACAGGGGUUUGAGGUCUUAUCUGUAAGCAAAUACAUUCUUCAGAAUUACUUAAAAUAUUUAAUUUGGCCAUGAAAGUGCUUUUUUAUGGGUUUUAGUGAAGGUGGAAAAAACCCUAUCUAAAUAAAAUUCCUAGCUAAUAUAUACAAGUUGAUCUUUUUGGAUACUUAUAAAAAUGCCAAGGAAUAUAAAGGGUUUUUUAAAGAAAAUAUUUCACUUUUUACCUCUUGUACAAGAAAUCUGAGUUUGGGGUCUGUGGCAUUAUUGCUUUUGUUCUACCUUGAUUUCUGUAAUGCAGCUACAUGCAGGUUCUGUUUGACAGUGGUGUUAAAAAUCUUGUAAUAAGUCUAAUAAUAAAGUCUAAUGCUGAACUUGCAUUCAAAAUUACCAGAAUGCACUGAAACCAGGUCAUUAAUCUAAAACGAUGAGAGGUUAAAAAGUCCUUGAAACUUCCUUUGCUGCAAAUAAGAAACAUGGGUUUCAUCUCACCUAACCCUCGCAGCCUACAAAGUAUUAGUUCUCCAGUCUAAUAUAAUUAAAUCAAACAUACCCAUGGAAGAAAGUUCCCUGAAGCUGCAAAGUUGUGUAAUUUCUAUGAAAUACAGAGAUUUGCUCUCACUGUAGUUCCUUUCCUAUGCUCUUGGAAGGAUAAAAAGUUACAGACAAAAUUUCCUAAUAUCAUAUCCCAACUUACCAAGUUUUUCAGGCAACUGGUUAUGUUGGGAGCAGCUUCUUUGUCCCAUUUUCUUAGCUCUUACUCAGCUGAAGCUCCUGAAGAUCAUUGUAAUUUUUUUGAAAGGAAGAAAACUAAACAUCUAGAAACUGAAAAUGUAUUUAAUUAUAGAUGAAGCUUUGGCAGGACUUAACUCAUCAAGGUAGAGUUUUAGACACUAGAGUUGAAAAAUUGGGGGACGUAAAUUUGUGCUUUCCUGUUGUCUCCAUCAGUAUUUAUAACAUACUUGAAGGAUGCAAAUUUUCUCUUGCAUCUUAGGCAUGACAAAGGAGUAUACACUAUUUAAUUUGAUUGUACUUCAGGACUUUUCAUUUGAAAUUUGAUGAACAUAGUAUGUGUUAAUUAGACGUCGGUAAAAAUAUGGAUGCAGAAUUAUGCACUUCAUGCAGAGCAACUGUCAGCUA